UACGGGAGGCAGCAGUGGGUAAUAUUCGCACAAUGGGCGCAAGCCUGAUGGCAGCCAUGCCGCGUGUAUGAAGAAGGCCUUCGGGUUGUAAAGUACUUUCAGUCGUGAGGAAGGUGUUAAGGUUAAUAACCUUAGCAAUUGACGUUAGCGACAGAAGAAGCACCGGCUAACUCCGUGCCAGCAGCCGCGGUAAUACGGAGGGUGCGAGCGUUAAUCGGAAUUACUGGGCGUAAAGGGCACGCAGGCGGUUAAUUAAGUUGGAUGUGAAAUCCCCGGGCUUAACCUGGGAAUGGCAUUCAAGACUGGUUAGCUAGAGUCUUGUAGAGGGGGUAGAAUUCCAUGUGUAGCGGUGAAAUGCGUAGAGAUGUGGAGGAAUACCGGUGGCGAAGGCGGCCCCUGGACAAAGACUGACGCUCAUGUGCGAAAGCGUGGGGAGCAAACAGGGAUUAGAUACC
rnacentral:rRNA from 1 species